AACGAACGCUGGCGGCAUGCCUAACACAUGCAAGUCGAACGAGACCUUCGGGUCUAGUGGCGCACGGGUGCGUAACGCGUGGGAACCUGCCCUUAGGUUCGGAAUAACUCCCCGCAAGGGGUGCUAAUACCGGAUAAUGUCUUCGGACCAAAGAUUUAUCGCCUUUGGAUGGGGCCGCGUUGGAUUAGCUAGUUGGUAGGGUAAAAGCCUACCAAGGCGACGAUCCAUAGCUGGUCUGAGAGGAUGAUCGGCCACACUGGGACUGAGACACGGCCCAGACUCCUACGGGAGGCAGCAGUGGGGAAUAUUGGACAAUGGGCGAAAGCCUGAUCCAGCAAUGCCGCGUGAGUGAUGAAGGCCUUAGGGUUGUAAAGCUCUUUUACCCGGGAUGAUAAUGACAGUACCGGGAGAAUAAGCUCCGGCUAACUCCGUG
rnacentral:rRNA from 1 species